UUCCCGGUGUAGCGGUGAAAUGCGUAGAUAUCGGGAAGAACACCAGUGGCGAAGGCGCUCUGCUGGGCCAUUACUGACGCUCAUGGACGAAAGCCAGGGGAGCGAAAGGGAUUAGAUACCCCUGUAGUCCUGGCCGUAAACGAUGAACACUAGGUGUCGGGGGAAUCGACCCCUUCGGUGUCGUAGCUAACGCGUUAAGUGUUCCGCCUGGGGAGUACGCACGCAAGUGUGAAACUCAAAGGAAUUGACGGGGGCCCGCACAAGCGGUGGAGUAUGUGGUUUAAUUCGAUGCAACGCGAAGAACCUUACCAGGGUUUGACAUCCUGCGAACCUCUUAGAAAUUUGAGGGUGCCUUCGGGAAUGCAGUGACAGGUGGUGCAUGGCUGUCGUCAGCUCGUGUCGUGAGAUGUUGGGUUAAGUCCCGCAACGAGCGCAACCCACGUUUUUAGUUGCCAGCAUUUAGUUGGGCACUCUAGAAAGACCGCCGGUGAUAAACCGGAGGAAGGUGUGGAUGACGUCAAGUCAUCAUGCCCCUUACACCCUGGGCUACACACGUACUACAAUGCUACGGACAAAGGGCAGCAAACUCGCGAGGGCAAGCAAAUCCCAUAAACCGUGGCUCAGUUCAGAUCGUAGGCUGCAACUCGCCUACGUGAAGUAGGAAUCGCUAGUAAUCGCAGGUCAGCAUACUGCGGUGAAUACGUUCCCGGGCCUUGUACACACCGCCCGUCACACCAUGGAAGUUGGCCAUGCCCGAAGUCGUUACUCCAACCCUUGUG
rnacentral:rRNA from 1 species